rnacentral:rRNA from 1 species
AUUAGUAUUAGUUAUUUUCUUGAAAGUUAAAGAUUUUGGCGGUAUUUUAGUCUUUUCAGAGGAACCUGUUCUGUAAUUGAUAGUCCACGAUUUACUUUACUUAAAUAAUUUGUAUAUCGUCGUUAUUUUGAACAUUUUAUAAGAAAUAUAAUGUUCAAUUUUUUUUAUAAAAAUAUAAUUCAGAUCAAGGUGCAGUUUAUAUCUAAGAAGAAAUGGGUUACAAUAAAUUUAUUUAAAUGGUUUGGAGAAUUAAUUUUUUUCAUUAAAGUGGGAAAGUAAUAUUUUUAAGAAGUUUAAUUGAGUAAGU